UCCCCACUCCACUUUGAACUUCCACUGUAAAGCCCUAUUGCCCAAACCUUCCAACCGCCCCUCCACCGCCCGCCACCGCCGCGAACCGUUUUCCUUCUCUACCCCAAUCAAAACUAUGGGGCCGUUGCAAGUUUCUCGAGAGGACCAUUACUGUGCAGACGGAUACUGCUAGAUCAACCAAUUUACUAUUCCCGGUCAUAGAUUCUUAUUAAUGAGGUCUGCAUAGAUAAGCUCUGAUCUCAGUAAUACUAGCUGAAGUGCUGCACCUGCGUCAUUCGUCGUGUUUCGAAACGUCCAAGAGUGGUUUAUGCUCAGAGUUCGUGGAUGGGUGAUACAAGGAAUGCAGAUUGCAUAUCAACUGUUUGUGUGUUUGCGCAAGAGGAAUUCCUUACGCUUCAAGAAUUUAUCGAAUGGAAGCCUCAAACCCAGAUAUACCGCUGCCACUAGAUAAAUUAUCCCUCAAAUCUAUCACGAAAGAUAGUUUAUCAAGCUCUGAUGCCAAGGGGAAGAUUUUUGUAGUUUUGGUUUCAACUGGAAGUUUCAAUCCUCCUACAAACAUGCACUUGCGUUGUUUUGAGUUGGCUAGAGAUGCUGUAAAUUCUCAAGGGUUUUGUGUUAUUGGAGGUUACAUGUCACCUGUAAACGAUUCGUACAAGAAGAAGAAAUCGGAACUAAAAUUCAGAGAGAGAGAGACGAGAGAAGCCGACAGCAGCUGCGUGAAAUCGGCGACGGAGGAGUCGAGAGCGCAGCGGCGCUGUGACAGAGAGAGGAGAAAGAUAGAGGCUGCGGGCGUGAGAUGGUCUGACGGUGGCUGACCGCAGCUGCUGUGACUGAACCCGACGGCGACGGCAGCAGUGGCGUCGGGUACAGCGGCGCCGAGCAACGGCGUGGACGCGGCAAGCAACAGCAGCACUCCCCGGCAGAGACAGCAAAAUCAGCGACGGAGGUAGUCGGACGACGCCACGUCGCCGGAGUGCAGCGAGCGUCGGAGGAGGAAUGGCCGACGGCUCUGGUAUGGAGUGUUGGGGGAGCGACGGAGAAAGAGACGGUGGGGUGAGGGAUUUCUCAAUUUUGGAGGAUUUCUCAAAUUGGGGAUUUUGUGUGAAUUGGAGAAGAAAUAGAGAGAUGGGUGUUGUUUCUGGAGAAGAAGAUGAAUGUAAGAUUGAGGGGGAGUGAAAUAUGUGAUGUGAAUUUAGGAAGGAGUAAGAGAGGAGUUUGGGGAAGAGAGAUGGGAGAUAGGGACGUACAGAUCAUGUGUAGAAGAAGAAGAAGAAUGAUGUUAGGGAGUAUAGUUUUGGGCUGCUUGUUGGGCCAAGGAUUUAUUUUAAAUAUUGGGCCUUAGAUUAUUUUGAGAUGUGGUUAUUAUUAUGGAAUUUGAUUACACAUUGCCCAGCCUUUUCUAUUUUAAAAUUUUGGACAGAAGAGUGGGGUAUGUGUAGUGAUGGGUUAGUAAAUCCAAUGGGAAAUUGCCUAUCUUGGCAGAGGGCUUUGACAAAGGAUUUGGAUUGGAGUUAAUUUGAGUUCGGGCCAAACUAAUUAAAUGGAAGAUUUGGGCCAGUAGCUAGGAGCUUCACGGAUUGAAUUAAAGAAUCAUAUUGUUGUGAUAGAGUCGGCUGACCUUAUGAUUAAUGUACGAGGAUUUCAGAAUUUUCUAAGUAAUGUCGAAGGGGUGAAUUUUUGGCAAGCUAUUUGAAAACAAAACGGCGGAAAGACGAGUUGAGGAGUUAAGAGAACGAGGUUGAGCUGUGACAAGCGCGGUGGGUGUUGAGCAGAGUUGGGUCUUAUCCAUGGCUGCAUAUAAACAUCUUACCGAUACACGACGAAUGACACAGUUGGCAGCACUUCAGACCUGCGAGAAAGAGGAAAAGACUCAACUCCUAAUUUAUUCGGAACGUCCAAGAGUGGUUUAUGCUCAGAGUUCAUGGAUAGGUGAUACAAGGAAUGCAGGUGAUCGGACGUGACAUUAUUUUGUGUUCAUAAUUUUUUUUAAUUUAAUAGCCCAUUUGUGAGUUGUAUCUCAAGUGUAUUCGUAGAUCGUGUUUGAUGUUGUAAUAAACAACUGUCUAUUCCGUCAAUUAUUAUGCUCUUCAUGGAUAA